GAAAGGCACCGUGCUGAGAUGCUGGAACAAUGGCAAGAAGAGAAGGCAAAGAGAGAGCGGGAACACGAGAAGGUGCUGCUUGAGCUGAGGCAGAAAGUUGCCACCCUGCAGGUCUAACAAGAUGAACAAAUUAGAUUUGAAAAAGCCAAGCGACAGGUGCUGCAGGAAGAGCAGAAUGAGAAGAGGGCUUUAACAGAGACACUGCUCCAAACUCGGGGACAGCUCAGCCAAGCGUGCCAGCAGGUCCAGCAGCUCAGGCAGGAGGUGAAAGAGCAGCAAGAGAAGGGACAGACCAUCAAGGCAAAGCUGCAAGCUGAGCUGCAGGAAGCUCACGAUGAAAUAUUGGCAGUGCAGAGGAGGCACAAGGAAGAACUUCAGGGCAUCAGAGAGAGGAGAUGAAUGUCUUCCUUGAACAGAGGGAUGCUCUACAAAAGCA